rnacentral:rRNA from 1 species
CCAAGUCCAGAUCUGAUAAACGCUGAAGGCAUCUAAGCGUGAAGCGGACCACAAGAUAAGAUUUCCCAUCCGAAAGGAGUAAGACCCCUUAGAGACUAUGAGGUUGAUAGGUUGGAGCUGUAAGUGUAGUAAUACAUUCAGGUGACCAAUACUAACGGUUCGAGGGUUUGACCUA